rnacentral:lncRNA from 1 species
AUGACUCUUAACGAGCAUGCUGCCUUCAAGCAUCUGUUUAACAAAGCACAUCUUGCACCACCCUUAAUCCAUUUAACCCUGAGUGGACACAGCACAUGUUUCAGAGAGCACAGGGUUGGGGGUAAGGUCACAGAUCAACAGGAUCCCAAGGCAGAAGAAUUUUUCUUAGUACCGAACAAAAUGAAAAGUCUCCCAUGUCUACCUCUUUCUACACAGACACGGCAACCAUCCGAUUUCUCAAUCUUUUCCCCACCUUUCCCCCCUUUCUAUUCCACAAAACCGCCAUUGUCAUCAUGGCCCGUUCUCAAUGAGCUGUUGGGUACACCUCCCAGAUGGGGUGGUGGCCUGGCAGAGGGGCUCCUCACUUCCCAGUAG